GGGCUUUGAAUUUCUGUUUUCCAGAAGGUUCCUCUCCCACUUCCUACUGCCCGUGGGACAGAGUUCAUCCAGCCUCCCAGGUCCCUGUCAUAGGCUGAGCCUUCUCGAGGAGUGUCCCCGUGGGGCACUGUGGACCUCUCAGCCCAUGCCUCUGGGGCACAGAGUUCUGCCUCUCCGGCCAGUUUCCCUGCGGUUGGCGCUGGCUGUGAGACACUGCCGGGCUCCUUCUAGUGGCCUCUGAACAAACCACAGAGCCCCCGGCCCCUCCUGUCUGCAGGCUUCCUGCCACUGAAUUUGCCCUGCAUUGGGAGGAGGGGGAAGGGGGGCCUGAGUGGGUGGCAUGAUGACAGGUGAGCCUCGGGGUUCCGUGCCACCUGCUUGCAGCUCCACUUCUGCCGCUUGUUGAGCCAUUGAGCCCCGUUGUGUUGCAGGUGAAAUGGUGAGGCAGAGUGGGGCUCCAUCCGCUAAAGAUUCCAGAUCUUUCAGGGGGCUUUGUCCUCCUGACUUCUCUCCAGCCUGCUCCCUUCCGCAGGGCACAGCAUCCAACAUGCUGAACGUGCCUGAGUUUGCCUAGUACCUAGCAGGACACUGGGAGCAUGUCUGUUUUUUCACGGGAGCUGGGGGUGGUAUGUCCUGGGCUCUAAAUGCAGCAUGAGGCUUGGAGGCCCCUGGCAGAGCCGUGGAAGAGUGGUCGUUGGCAAGACUGGCAUUUCUGUCACCUGACUGGAGGAGACCCUCUGGCAGGGCUUGGACUCAGCUGAGCAGAAAGAUGAGCAGUUGACUUGGGAUGUGAUUUUACAUUCCUGGCAAAGUAACACCACAUUUGUUUUAAAGAGGAGGAAAGAACAAAAUCAAACUGUUAGUUAACAUUUCAAAGAGGUUAAAAGAGCCACUUGGGUUCCUCUCCUGGCCAGUUCUAUGGUGGGGGGAUGCCAAGGGCUUCUCUUGCUGGCGGAGAAUUGUGGGGUGUCUCUCUGCUUCCGGGGUCCCAGCCUCUGAUCCGUUUAGGAGACGGUUCCGGGGAUUCACACUUGUCUUUGGAAAGCUUGAUCUUCUCCAAGUUUCUCAUAUCCCUUCUGUAUUUCUUUCCCAUGCAGAUUCUCUUGCUGGCUCUUUUUGCUGUUGUUUUCAGAAGUUAAUAUUCACAAGCUUUGAUUUCUAGACCCAGUUCUGGACUUUACAGAAGCGAGAAUCAACAGGCUCAAAACUUGGCUUCGUUACUCAUUUGACUCAAACGUGUUCAGGGCAACACCCCUGAGCCACAGCCAGAAACAAACGUCCCCAAAGUGGGGCUCUUGCCUGGAAUCUCACCACUCAACCAGGAGACCUGAGCGCACUUAGCAAAAUGGGCAAAGUGAGGAGGAGCAGGAGGGGAUAGGAUGUGACUGAGCCGUACAGCCUCCAGCAUCUUGCUCCUGGAUGGACUGGAUCCUACAGGGAGACUCUGGAGCUGAACUUCAAAGUAAAUAGAAAUCGAUUGGAUUUAGACUCAUGGGCUCACAGACCAUCCCACCUGAAAGAAAACUUAGAAACCAUCACAGUCUUGACUCAAGUGCCAUCUUCAAUGGAUUGGUUGUGCCUGACUGGGUUUUACAUCUGGACUCUGAAAGGUGCUGUGAGGGAUUGAUGAUGCCUGUCUGGGUGUGGUAAGGGAAAGUACCAGCCUAUAAUCUGAUGAUCUGAUGAUUCUGUCUCUUCCAGGUACCUGCUCUGCGUUUUACAAACGAGGAAACUGAGUCACACACAUAGCAUACUAAGUUGUCUAAAGCCAGGACAUUAUAGGAAGCCAGGGCAGAUUUGAAGAUAGAGUUUAGGUUGUCAGACCUUUCCUAUCAAUGACAAUGAUUUCUCUUCUGGUUGGAGUUCAGUCUCCUAUGACGUUGUCAAAGUCGGCUUGCUGGUUUACAUCCUGUGGAUUCUAUGCUCAGCCACUUCUGUACAUUCCAGCAGGGUCUUGUGGGUGCCUGUGGAGCAAUAUUCAUAGAAGACUUUCACAAUCAGAAUUCUGAUGCCCUCAGGCAGUCUAGGGGGUCCCGGGCCUGAGAGCUCACCCAUUAAGAGGGGACCUUUUAUCAAACCACAACUGGAAAACUUCAGAAACUGCUGUCCCAAAUGAAACAUACUCGAGUUCACUUCAAGUGGGCAGAAAACAAACAUCCAGGAGACCCUGGCCCAAAUGCUUAAAGCUCAUCACACUUGAGACGUGAAACUGGGUCCAAAUCUAGACCUGGCAUGACUCAUGGGAGCUUGCUACGGAAAAGGGGAGACAGAAGGUCUUCAGCCUUCCUGUGAACACCAGCUCCUUAAUUUUACAUUUAAAUUCUUUUUUUCUUUUGGCUGAACUACGAGGCAUAUGGGAUCUCAGUUCCCAGACAGAUCUCACGUGGCCUUGGCCAGCAACGUCUUGGAGCAGGGCUUGGGUUCCCAGCCAGAGAUUGGCCUGGGUUUCAGCAGUCAAAGCACCAGAUCCUAGCCACUGGACCAGUGGUCAGUGACAAGUACCUUGGUCCUUUGGUUUUGCAGAAAAGAAUUUCCACAAAGAUGGAAAGUAGUGAAGCAAGUAAAAUGUUUAUUAAGAGGAAAAAGUACAGUAGGUGUGGAUAGACACACGGGCAGACUCAGGACAGUCCCUGCGUCGCUAAGUCGCACCCUCGUGGCAGGUUGAAUUGCUUUUAUGGGGCAUUUCUUCUGGGUUUCCUUUGGCCAGUCAUUCUAAUUUGCCUGGUUCACACUCCAUAUAUGGUAUAUCUCAGAAUCUCUCCAUGUGUGUGUACACAUCUCUUAGCCAAAAUGGGUCUUAUGGAAGAGGUGUAUGGGUAGAGUAUCCCUUGACAUGACUUCCCUUUGACCUACAAGGAGCCUUUUCUAUGCAUGUGUGGUCGGGAGGUCUCCUGACUUCCAAACGAGAAAUAUGUGGCCUGGGCAGGGUUCAGUGUCCUCCCUUAAUUGUCCAGCUGUUCUCAUCUUGGAGUUUCGGUCAAGAGAGAAUCAAUCUCCAAUUGCUUUACCCUGGGGGGUGCCCAUCUGCCUCCUGCCUGAAGACCAGGGAUCAAAACCACCCCCUGCAUUGCAAGUGUGGAGUCUUAACCACUGGACCACCAGGGGAAUUCCUAGUACCUUAUUUACUAGCACCCAUUCUGUUUAAGAGACCUGGGUUCAAUUUCUGGGUGGGGAAGAGCCCCUGGAGAAGGCAAUGGCAACCUCCUCCAGUAUUCUUGCCUCGAGAAUCCCAUGGACAGAGGAGCCUGGCAGUAUACAGCCACUAAACCACCGCCACCAUUCUGUUUAAAUGUCCUAACAGGCAAAAUGCACUCCUAGAAUUAGCAGGAGGGGGCGCGCUCAAGGAUGGUGAAGACCCUCAGAAGCACUCAGCUCCAGGAUCUGGAGUGGCCGCCUGCAAACACUAGCUCAGCAAGCCCCUGGGACACUGGCCUUCCUCCUGGGCCAGCAGCCCCCAGCGAUAAGGAUCACAAGACUGAUGCUCUGGGGGGGAGGCAGUUCUGGACUGGGGCCCAUUCCCAGGACCGUCGUCAGCGGCCUUAGUAAUGGGACAGCAUCCUGUUUUAUUAAAAGCCUGUUGCUAGCCAGGAAAACUGUCUGUCUGCUGUGUGGGCAGGGGCCCAAUAUUGCUGCGGGCAAUUCCAAGUCAGUCCUUUGAGUUGACAUCAAACCAGGAAAGAACAGGACUAUUUUUCAGUUGAUGAAGCAGUACUUUUCUUUCUUUUUUCAAGCGGUUCUCUCUCGUGUUGCACCGUGCACAUUUUGUCUGCGCCGGACGCACGCGAAUCUUCAAGCCGGCUGCGGUUGGAGUCCACCUCCCCUCCCCCUCCUGCCGCUCUCCCACUCCUCCUUCCUCUCCCCUCCCCCAGAGCCCCACCCUGGCCUCCCUGGCCUUCCCAGCCCCCAGCCCCCUGGUAGACACCCUGAGCGGAGGGAGGCCCAGACGUGGCCUGAGGCUAUUUACAGGGUGGGGGUGGGGAGGGGAGGGAAACCGACUGCUUUGUGUAUCUUCGGAGUCUGGAAACUCGACAGAAUUCCUCCAUUUCCAAGGAAGCUCUCAUUUGCAGGUUUCCAAAAAUAAAAAAUAAAAGGAGACGCACUUCAAAAGGAACCAGAGGAAAAGCUGUUUUCUCUGUGAGCCGAUUUGUUUAUUAUUAUUUUAUUCUUUAGCAUUAGAUUUGUUGAAGGUAGGCGAGAACUGUCAUUUUUUUCCCCUGUAUUUUUAUUUUGCUUUCUUUUUUUUUUUUUUUUUUUUUUGCCUUAUCAGUGUAGAGGGCAAAUAAUAUUUGAAGAGAUGGCCAUGAAAUACUCAUUUCAUACAUGUCUGUGGGAAACAGGUUUUGUGUAAACUUUUGUAUUCAGAUUUUCAGCUGAGGUUAUGGAUGACUGGAAUCUCCCUUCAGGUUGUAAAUUAAAAUCGCUCAAAUGGUGUCACUUUUACAAAUGAAAAGAAAUUAAAUGUGCUUCAACACAGAUUUUUAAAAUAAUUUCAAGAAAGUUAUAAAAGCAGUUUCAAUA